rnacentral:rRNA from 1 species
AAUGAAGGCUGGCGGCAUGCCUUACACAUGCAAGUCGAACGGCAGCAUGACCUAGCUUGCUAGGUUGAUGGCGAGUGGCGAACGGGUGAGUAAUGCAUCGGAACGUGCCUUUUAGUGGGGGAUAACGUAGCGAAAGUUACGCUAAUACCGCAUAUUCUCUGAGGAGGAAAGCAGGGGACCUUCGGGCCUUGCGCUAGAAGAGCGGCCGAUGUCGGAUUAGCUAGUUGGUGAGGUAAAGGCUCACCAAGGCAACGAUCCGUAGCGGGUCUGAGAGGAUGAUCCGCCACACUGGGACUGAGACACGGCCCAGACUCCUACGGGAGGCAGCAGUGGGGAAUUUUGGACAAUGGGCGCAAGCCUGAUCCAGCCAUGCCGCGUGAGUGAAGAAGGCCUUCGGGUUGUAAAGCUCUUUCGGCUGGGAAGAAAUCGCACCCUCUAAUACAGGGUGUGGAUGACGGUACCAGCAUAAGAAGCACCGGCUAACUACGUG